rnacentral:rRNA from 1 species
AUUGAACGCUGGCGGCAGGCUUAACACAUGCAAGUCGAGCGGGGUGAUGGUGCUGCACUAUCACUUAGCGGCGGACGGGUGAGUAAUGCUUAGGAAUCUGCCUAUUAGUGGGGGACAACAUCUCGAAAGGGAUGCUAAUACCGCAUACGUCCUACGGGAGAAAGCAGGGGAUCACUUGUGACCUUGCGCUAAUAGAUGAGCCUAAGUCGGAUUAGCUUGUUGGCGGGGUAACGGCCCACCAAGGCAACGAUCAGUAGGGGUUCUGAGAGGAAGGUCCCCCACAUUGGAACUGAGACACAGUCCAAACCCCUACGGGAGGCAGCAGUGAGGUAUAUUGGUCAAUGUGCGGAAGCCUGAACCAGCCAAGUAGCGUGCAGGAUGACGGCCCUAUGGGUUGUAAACUGCUUUUAUACAGGAAUAAAGUUAGCCACGUGUGGUUAUUUGUAGGUACUGUAUGAAUAGGGACCGGCUAAUUCCGUGCCAGCCGCCGCCGUAA